UACGUAGGGGGCAAGCGUUGUCCGGAUUUAUUGGGCGUAAAGAGCGUGUAGGCGGCUUUACAGGUCCGUUGUGAAAACUCGAGGCUCAACCUCGAGACGCCGGUGGAAACCCGUAAGGCUAGAGUCCGGAAGAGGAGAGUGGAAUUCCUGGGUGUAGCGGUGAAAUGCGCAGAUAUCAGGAGGAACACCCGUGGCGAAAGCGGCUCUCUGGGACGGUACUGACGCUGAGACGCGAAAGCGUGGGGAGCAAACAGG
rnacentral:rRNA from 1 species